CGUAUGGUGCAAGCGUUAUCCGGAUUUACUGGGUGUAAAGGGAGCGUAGACGGAUGGGCAAGUCUGAUGUGAAAACCCGGGGCUCAACCCCGGGACUGCAUUGGAAACUGUUCAUCUAGAGUGCUGGAGAGGUAAGUGGAAUUCCUAGUGUAGCGGUGAAAUGCGUAGAUAUUAGGAGGAACACCAGUGGCGAAGGCGGCUUACUGGACAGUAACUGACGUUGAGGCUCGAAAGCGUGGGGAGCAAACAGGAUU
rnacentral:rRNA from 1 species